rnacentral:rRNA from 1 species
CAAUAGCGUAUAUUUAAGUUGUUGCAGUUAAAAAGCUCGUAGUUGGAUUUUGGGUCGGGGGCACCGGUCCGCCGUUCCGGUGUGCACUGGUGGCCCCUUCCUUUCUGCCGGGGACGUGCGUCGCACUUAAUUGGGUGGCGUUCGGAGUCGGCGUUGUUACUUUGAAAAAAUUAGAGUGUUCAAAGCAAGCCAUCGCUCUGAAUACAUUAGCAUGGAAUAACAUGAUAGGACUCCGGUCUUAUUUUGUUGGUUUCCGAGACUGGAGUAAUGAUUAAGAGGGACAGUCGGGGGCAUCCGUAUUUCAUUGUCAGAGGUGAAAUUCUUGGAUUUAUGAAAGACGAACUUCUGCGAAAGCAUUUGCCAAGGAUGUCUUCAUUAA